GGCGUGCUAAUCUGCGAUAAGCGCCGGUAAGGUGAUAUGAACCGUUAUAACCGGCGAUACCCGAAUGGGGAAACCCAGUGUGACUCGUCACACUAUCAUUAACUGAAUCCAUAGGUUAAUGAGGCGAACCGGGGGAACUGAAACAUCUAAGUACCCCGAGGAAAAGAAAUCAACCGAGAUUCCCCCAGUAGCGGCGAGCGAACGGGGAGGAGCCCAGAGCCUGAAUCAGCAUGUGUGUUAGUGGAAGCGUCUGGAAAGGCGCGCGAUACAGGGUGACAGCCCCGUACACAAAAGCGCAUGUGCUGUGAGCUCGAUGAGUAGGGCGGGACACGUGGUAUCCUGUCUGAAUAUGGGGGGACCAUCCUCCAAGGCUAAAUACUCCUGACUGACCGAUAGUGAACCAGUACCGUGAGGGAAAGGCGAAAAGAACCCCGGCGAGGGGAGUGAAAAAGAACCUGAAACCGUGU
rnacentral:rRNA from 1 species